rnacentral:sRNA from 2 species
CAUAUCUCCAAAGGGGAGUAGCGUCCAAGAAAUAAUUCUUGGAAACAAAGUCGUCAUUACGUAGAACUUAGUUCUUCCGGCUUUGUUGGCAUUUUCAUUACAUAUGUCUAGCAAGACCUUUGCCUACCAACGGCAGAGGUCUUUUUUGCAUUCUUUUCCAGAUUCUUCUACCGCU